AACGAACGCUGGCGGCAUGCCUAACACAUGCAAGUCGAACGAUACCUUCGGGGCUAGUGGCGCACGGGUGCGUAACGCCUGGGAACCUGCCCUUAGGUUCGGAAUAACUCACCGUAAGGGGUGCUAAUACCGGCUAAUGUCUUCGGACCUAAGAUUUAUCGCCUUUGGAUGGGCCCGCGUUGGAUUAGCUAGUUGGUAGGGUAAAAGCCUACCAAGGCGACGAUCCGGAGCUGGUCCGAGAGGAUGAUCAGCCACGCUGGAACUGAGACACGGCCCAGAAUCGGACGGAAGGGAGCAGUAGGGUAUAUAGGACAAUGGGCGCAAGCGUGAUCCAGCAAUGUCGCGUGAGUGAGGAAGGCGUUAGGAUUGUAAAGCCCUCUUACAAGGGAUGAUAAUGACAGUACCGGGAGAAUAAGCUCCGGCUAACUCCGUG
rnacentral:rRNA from 1 species